rnacentral:rRNA from 1 species
GUGAGGAAUAUUGGUCAAUGGGCGGGAGCCUGAACCAGCCAAGUCGCGUGAAGGAAGAAGGAUCUAUGGUUCGUAAACUUCUUUUGCAGGGGAAUAAAGUGCAGGACGUGUCCUGUUUUGUAUGUACCCUGAGAAUAAGGAUCGGCUAACUCCGUGCCAGCAGCCGCGGUAAUACGGAGGAUCCGAGCGUUAUCCGGAUUUAUUGGGUUUAAAGGGUGCGUAGAUGGUUUGAUAAGUCAGCGGUGAAAGUUUGCAGCUUAACUGUAAAAAUGCCGUUGAAACUGUCGGACUUGAGUGUAAAUGAGGUAGGCGGAAUGCGUGGUGUAGCGGUGAAAUGCAUAGAUAUCACGCAGAACUCCGAUUGCGAAGGCAGCUUACUAAGCUACAACUGACACUGAAGCACGAAAGCGUGGGGAUCAAACAGGAUUAGAAACCCUAGUAGUCC